AUUGAACGCUGGCGGCAGGCUUAACACAUGCAAGUCGAGCGAGCGGCGGACGGGUGAGUAAUGUCUGGGAAACUGCCUGAUGGAGGGGGAUAACUACUGGAAACGGUAGCUAAUACCGCAUACCAUCAGAUGUGCCCAGAUGGGAUUAGCUAGUAGGUGGGGUAAUGGCUCACCUAGGCGACGAUCCCUAGCUGGUCUGAGAGGAUGACCAGCAACACUGGAAGUGAGACACGGUUCAGACGCCCACGGGAGGGAGCAGUGGGGAAUAUGGCACAAUGGGGGCAAGCCUGAUGCAGCCAUGCCGCGUGGGGGAUGAAGGCUUACGGGUUGUAAACCUCUGUCGAAAACGAACGGGUAGGUGGAGAAGAAGCGCCGGCUAACUACGUGCCAGCAGCCGCGGUAAUAC
rnacentral:rRNA from 1 species